AUGUAGAUGUAAAGAUAUUUUUACUAUUCUGUUGAAUGCUUAAAAAGUUUACAUACAGUAUGAUUCGAUCAGAUUAGAUUAAAUUAGAACUAAUAAUUAAUCAACUACUAAUUAGUAAUGUAUAAGGUUACAUCAGAGUACAAAUAGAGUCUUACGACUGAAAAGAUAAAUAUUUAUUUUGAUCGUAAUACUGACACACGUAGUGAAAUGGGGCACGUCUCGAACACUCGCAAUUCAAUAAGGACUAAAGAAUAUUAUCGAUUUGAUAUUACAUAUCGAUCGAGAUCUUCUGUAUCGAUCAAACCAUAGUUCAGUUGAAGAAGUGGCACCAUACGGUAAAACAAAAUCUGGAUGAAUUAUGAAUGAUUUGAUAAAUUACAUAUGAUCAGUCAUGCAUGUUCCGGACAUAUAGACUCAUUGCCAAAGUUGCUGUUGUCAUUAUAAGCGAUAAGUCAUACAAUUAGAGAGCCGUGAUACAAAUGGAUUAAAAUUAGUUUGAUUUUGACGUACCAAUACGUCAUUGGCGGAUUUGAUCAGUUCGAUUUUCACAUACCAAUAAAUAUUAGUUGUAUUUAAAAGUAUAUGAUCUCUAACCGGCCAUCUACAAAAAAAGAUUAUGAUGUAUUAUUUGAUGUACCUAUCUGAGCUCAAAUAUACUGAACAAGAAUGGAAAAAGAUAAGAAUUGACGAGGAUAAUUUUUGUUACGAAUCCUUCAAUUUGUUCCAAAUAUCAGAUUGUUACCAGCGUAAAAUUCGGUCAUUAAAAAUCGUCAUUUAUUUGAUAAUUUCAAGGGAGAAUGAUAGAGAUUGGACAAUAUUUGCGUAGCCCAUAAAAUAUUUGUCAAACUAUUAAGUUGUUGACAUAAGUGGAUUUUAUUACUUUUUUGUAAAGCAUUUAGUCAGCUCACGCGAUAUUGCCGUGGUUGCGGUUAAUUUGUCAACUGUCAAAUUUAAUAUGAAAGACAAGGAGUGAUGCGACGCGGUAUUUUUGUGCUUACGUUGUCUUCGUCUUUCAUAAGUUAAAUUUAACAAAUUCAAAUCAAGAUAUCUGCCACGAUAAUGUCUUUUCGUUAUAAAUAGAUUAAUAUCUGUUUUGUAGAAAAUGUCCAGUUGGCCCAACUAAUGUCAUAAAAAAUAUACGGUGCCAUUUAAAAGAAUCAAGGUUACCUUGAUAUCUCAGAAAAUAUAAGAUAUUAGAAAAUACAAUUGCGCUCAUUUCCAUGAAAUGCAGCAUAAAUCAUUUAAGACGUUUUUUGAUAUAACCAAUAUGUAACGAGUUAUUUUAGGUAGUACUUCUGACUGAUUCGAUUCACCCUGUAUAAGAUUCACAAUAAUACAAUCGGUUAAAGAGAUUCCAAAACUGAAAUGGUCUCUUUAAUUCAAUGAUGAAUGAAUUACGGGACUUUCAC